UACGUAGGAGGCGAGCGUUAUCCGGAUUUACUGGGCGUAAAGCGCGUGCAGGCGGUCUGGUAAGUUGGAUGUGAAAGCUCCUGGCUCAACCGGGAGAGGUCGUUCAAUACUGCCAGACUCGAGGACGGUAGAGGAGAGUGGAAUUCCCGGUGUAGUGGUGAAAUGCGUAGAUAUCGGGAGGAACACCAGUGGCGAAAGCGGCUCUCUGGGCCGUUCCUGACGCUAAGACGCGAAAGCGUGGGGAGCGAACGGGAUUAGAAACCCCGGUAGUCCACGCUGUAAACGAUGCAAACUUGGUGUUGGUGGCGUAAAAACCUUCAGUGCCGAAGCUAACGCGAUAAGUUUGCCGCCUGGGGACUACGAUCGCAAGAUUAAA
rnacentral:rRNA from 1 species